CCGGAGCAAGGGCUAGAACCGAGGAGUCCUGGCUCCAGCCCCCUGCUCUACCCCACUAGACCCCACCUCCCUCCCAGAGCCAGGGAGAGAACCCAGGAGUCCGGGCUCCAGCCCCCUGAUCUAGGCAGAGGCAGACGAUGACCUACCCCCUUUACUUUCUCUGCUUUUGCAGGUCACUCAGCUGUUUACAUCAUUUCUGGGAACUCUUUUUGGUGCGUCUCCUCCUCUGGCCGGGAGAGGAGGUUCCCAGGCUCUGGGGCCUGGGAAGGUUGCCCCACGCUGCAAUAGGGUCACUGUGGGCGUCAGUAUCACUGGGUUUUGGAUCCUGCCCUGGGCUGGUCUCUCCUGGUCUGGGGAGCCAGGCUCAUGGGAAACUUCCCCAUCUGGGAUGCUGUCAAGGCGGAUUCCCCACUGGCACUUCGAGCGCAGAAGGUGGGGAUCCACAAGGUCUCUACACAUUAAUACUGGCCACUCCAGGCUUGAAUUAAACUCCCACGGUUCCAGAUCCCCCUGGCCUUGGGCUGGGAAAUGCUGCCACCAAAUGCAGAACCCCUCUGAGAGCCCAGGAAGGCACACUCGGGAAUUCCUUCCUGUGGGGUACCCCCAAGCUCUUCCCCCCCCCACCCCCAGGGAAGAGCUGAGAAAAGGAAAAGAAAAAGAAAUCAACUGUUACCACCAACUAACUGAAAUACGUGCACGGACCUCGAAAGACACAGAAAUCCAAGCGUGUUCUUAAAAAAGGGACAGCGAUGGACGGCUGCUGCUCUCUUGACAUUGGACGUCAGGGAGGGACUCCAUGAUGGACACAGGAAUGGGCACAAUGCCCCGGUGCUGACUGGAUACCAGGACCUGUGGACGUGGUGUGUUUUUAUUAUUAUUCUCACAGGAUUCCUGAACACCGGAUUGUGCUGCUGCUACUCCCCCUGCUGAGGGUGUGCAUUCUCCAGCCGGUCCAGAUUGCACAUUCGGUUCGUCAGGAGAGCUGUGAGAAACGACAUCGGAGAAGAGCCGAGUGACAUUCCAGUCAGCAUGAGGAAUGAAGCCACAGGUGGUUUGGUGGUCCUUGAGUUGGAUGAAUUUACUCGCGUCCGCAGUCGCAGCAGAGGAGGCCCACUAGCAGUGCUACGACGACACCCGUGUCCCAGGACCCCUGGGAGAAGGUUGAACGAUCCUAGCUGUUACACUGUUAGGAAAUGGCUCAGGAUCAGAAAACACCCCAUGGAUUCCCUUCCAUGAUCCGGACAUCCAGAUACGGUGGCUUGAUCUGAAUACCAGCAUUACUUUAAAACCCCUAGGAAGCACUCAUGUUUAUGUGGGGGAGGGAGAAUUGGGAUUACAGGUAAACAUCUCAGUCCCCACGGGGAGGGAAAGUAAUUGGAUGGUGGGGAUACAAACUGAAGGCUAUUUUGGAGACAGCACCACAAUUGCAUACUAGCCCUUACUCCCCUAGAUUUGGGAUGGGUUUGUAAAAUCAGGAACCUUGGUAACAGUUAUUGUCGUAUACUGCCCACACACACACACAGGCAUUCCCAGAUGAUUGUGCAUGGAAGUGGGAAAAAGAGUACGUAUUUAUGAGAAAUACACCAAGGUCCAUGAAGAAACCUGCACUGUUCAAGGUCCAGACCACACUGGUGAAAGUUUUAGUAAGCCCCCUUCUGGUAAACAUAAAAAUUAACAUGGAUUGGACAAGGUUAAAUGUUUCUAACAUAGAGCCCAAAUGUAUACCUUACUCCCUUUCCAUUCUUUCAGCGUGGAUAAGAACACACCAGCAUUCCCCUCUCACUAGGGCCAAAAGAGAUCUUAUGGAUACAAUGCUGGGGAGUUUUGGUGUGGGAGCAGGACUCAUGAAUUCUGUGGAUUUAAAAGCAAUUAAAAAUAAAUUAAGCUCUCUGUCCCAGCUACAGGACAGCCUGAUACAGAAACAGAUACAUGCUAAUGUGGAUCUAGUCCAAAUAGGUCUUGGUAAUUUUAAAGCUAGAUGGAACCUAUAGUAAUGGCUCAAUGCUACCACCUGGCUGCUGCAUAAGAAACAGGUAAAAAUGCAAAACCAUGCAUAGCCAUUUGAUGUACUGAAAUGCAGAUACUUGCUUUGUCCACAUUGGCACACGAAAAGUUUUGGGUAAUAUCAGGAAACACCAAGGUUUUAAUACACUUGUUGAAGCAAAGAAAAAGGUCAUUGUUUGAUACUGCAUCUACUCAUAUUGACAAGUAUGUUUCUAGCAUGGUAAAACCAGACCUUUUAAUUGGAGAAAUUGUUGUCAGGAUUGCACAUUAACAGUCUCUGGAAGCAAAGAUAUGGAAAGUUAGCCCACUCCCCCUAUUGCACAUUGGAUAGUUCUGGCUACCCCGGAUCUCGAGCCAGUGGGCUGGGGAGGGAGGGAAGCUAUUGGACACGAGAGGUUAUACCGAGUGGACUCCUCAAAAGUGGGUGUGCUUGUCCCUACCUGUUGCUCCAGAGCCCUGUAGUAAAGACAUUUCACUAGGAUCGUGUAUGUGGGAUGAAUUAAACAAUGAAACCAAAGUAUUAUAUAAUGAGCAAUGUGUAUGUGUUAAUUCCUGGGAGGAGGUGUUUUGGGAGGAUGGAAGUGUUAGCAACCCACCAGUGGACAAAUGUAAAUGCAAUGUAAAUGCUGUGUUUACCAAUAAUCACACCUACUAUUUGGCACAGCCAGAAAAGUCUCUGCUUACUGUAAGCACUGAUUUAGCUGAGUUCUCUGUCAGUCUUGGCAUUGAAUAGCAGGAAUUCACCAAUCACCUGUUUAAAAGGUAAAGAGGUAACACAGUUCCGAGAACAGACAAAAGGCAAUGUGGGAAACCGAACAAUCCAUAUUAUGCAUGCAGACGGGGACAUGUUAAGAAUUGCCACUGCAGAAAGACAGAUAACAGUUUACAUAUUUUCUGGAUGGUCUCCCACAACUACUGGCAAACUAUCUGUAAUGCAACAUCCCCUACUAAUUGUUUUGGUUUUGAAUUGUAUUUGUCUAACUGGGAUGUUUGGAAUGUGUGCAAGACGAGAGCCACAGGCCCAAAUUGUCUCCCCGUACUUUCUAUUAAACAGAUUAAAUAAGAAGUGACACUAGUGAUUAACAGGUUUCAGAGUAGCAGCCGUGUUAGU